GCACAUACUGUGAUUUUACAGGAUAGAGAAUUGUACGCUGGACAUGUAACUUUCAAGUUGGCUUUUCCCUUGGGCUUAGAAUCAAUUACUGUAGUGUUUGAAAUGAAGGAUGUAUAAUUAUCUGGAGGUUUAACCAAGGUUCUUUGCAUAUUAGAAAGUACUUAGUAGGACCAACCCUGUUUCCCCCUUUGGUUUGUUUAGAAGACUUGCACUAUCUGCCAGAUGCUGCUUCCUAACCAGUGCAGUUAUGCAUCACACCAGAGAAUCCAUCAGCACAAAUCUCCCUACACCUGCCCUGAGUGUGGGGCCAUCUGCAGGUCGGUGCACUUCCAGACCCACGUCACCAAGAACUGUCUGCACUACACGAGGAGAGUUGGUUUUCGAUGUGUGCAUUGCAAUGUUGUGUACUCUGAUGUGGCUGCUCUGAAGUCUCACAUUCAAGGUUCUCACUGUGAAGUCUUCUACAAGUGUCCUAUUUGUCCAAUGGCGUUUAAGUCUGCCCCAAGCACACAUUCCCACGCCUACACACAGCAUCCUGGCAUCAAGAUAGGAGAACCAAAAAUAAUAUAUAAGUG
rnacentral:lncRNA from 1 species